rnacentral:rRNA from 1 species
AAUGGACGCAAGUCUGAUGGAGCAACGCCGCGUGAGUGAAGAAGGGUUUCGGCUCGUAAAGCUCUGUUGUUAAAGAAGAACGUGGGUAAGAGUAACUGUUUACCCAGUGACGGUAUUUAACCAGAAAGCCACGGCUAACUACGUGCCAGCAGCCGCGGUAAUACGUAGGUGGCAAGCGUUAUCCGGAUUUAUUGGGCGUAAAGCGAGCGCAGGCGGUCUUUUAAGUCUAAUGUGAAAGCCUUCGGCUCAACCGAAGAAGUGCAUUGGAAACUGGGAGACUUGAGUGCAGAAGAGGACAGUGGAACUCCAUGUGUAGCGGUGAAAUGCGUAGAUAUAUGGAAGAACACCAGUGGCGAAGGCGGCUGUCUGGUCUGCAACUGACGCUGAGGCUCGAAAGCAUGGGUAGCGAACAGGAUUAGAUACCCUGGUAGUCCAUGCCGUAAACGAUGAUUACUAAGUGUUGGAGGGUUUCCGCCCUUCAGUGCUGCAGCUAACGCAUUAAGUAAUCCGCCUGGGGAGUACGACCGCAAGGUUGAAACUCAAAAGAAUUGACGGGGGCCCGCACAAGCGGUGGAGCAUGUGGUUUAAUUCGAAGCUACGCGAAGAACCUUACCAGGUCUUGACAUCUUCUGACAGUCUAAGAGAUUAGAGGUUCCCUUCGGGGACAGAAUGACAGGUGGUGCAUGGUUGUCGUCAGCUCGUGUCGUGAGAUGUUGGGUUAAGUCCCGCAACGAGCGCAACCCUUAUUACUAGUUGCCAGCAUUAAGUUGGGCACUCUAGUGAGACUGCCGGUGACAAACCGGAGGAAGGUGGGGACGACGUCAAAUCAUCAUGCCCCUUAUGACCUGGGCUACACACGUGCUACAAUGGAUGGUACAACGAGUCGCGAGACCGCGAGGUUAAGCUAAUCUCUUAAAACCAUUCUCAGUUCGGACUGUAGGCUGCAACUCGCCUACACGAAGUCGGAAUCGCUAGUAAUCGCGGAUCAGCAUGCCGCGGUGAAUACGUUCCCGGGCCUUGUACACACCGCCCGUCACACCAUGAGAGUUUGUAACACCCAAAGCCGGUGGGGUAACCUUUUAGGAGCUAGCCGUUUAAAGGUGAU